ensembl:misc_RNA Metazoa_SRP Metazoan signal recognition particle RNA
GCCGGGCGUGGUGGCGCAUGUCUGUAAUUCCAGCUACUCGGGAGGCUGAGGCAGAAGAAUCGCUUGAACCCAGGAGGUGGAGGUUGCAGUGAGUCGAGAUGGUGCCACUGCACUCCAGCCUGGGUAACAGAGGGAGACUCUGCCUCAA